rnacentral:lncRNA from 1 species
UUCCUGGCGCAGGCCACAAAACCUGACCUGAAAUUUUCUAUCAAAAUGUCAACACUCCAUCACUGUAUAAACAAUCUAUAAACUGCCAUUUUACAAACACAGGAUACAGAAUAAUCAGUGUCCUCGACUUAUGCUCCACCCUCCGAGGGGAAGUUUUGCUUCCCCCAUGAAUCUCUGGCUGCCUGAGGGUGACGGCAGAGAUCCCCUCCGGCGUUUUCCUUGGAGGAAGUGAACAGAGGUGGACAUACCCUAAAGGCGAUGGACCAACUCGCCCAUCAGCAAGCUCUAUUCUUUCCCUUCGAAAAGUCCAGCAGCAAAGAAAAAGAUGCACGUUUCUCUCUGAAUCACAUUUGUGCACUCAAGAACUCCUACAGGAUGUGCUCCAGACCACACAAAUGGGAAUGAAGAGAAGCACCAACCACAGAGCAGUGGGGUCCCCAACGCCACACGCCCCGACCCCAGAACAUGACCACCCGUCAGAGCCGGAUUCCGCAGGGCAGCCUCCAGCAAGGCUGCAGAGGCCAAGAGGAGCCAAGAAAUUCUGAGACCAAUGAAAAGUCGCGUCCGGAGAGCAGG